rnacentral:rRNA from 1 species
GAUGAACGCUGGCGGCGUGCCUAACACAUGCAAGUCGAGCGAUUCUCUUCGGAGAAGAGCGGCGGACGGGUGAGUAACGCGUGGGUAACCUGCCCUGUACACACGGAUAACAUACCGAAAGGUAUGCUAAUACGGGAUAACAUAAGAAAUUCGCAUGUUUUUCUUAUCAAAGCUCUGGCGGUACAGGAUGGACCCGCGUCUGAUUAGCUAGUUGGUGAGGUAACGGCUCACCAAGGCGACGAUCAGUAGCCGACCUGAGGGGGUGAUCGGCCACAUUGGAACUGAGACACGGUCCAAACUCCUACGGGAGGCAGCAGUGGGGAAUAUUGCACAAUGGGCGAAAGCCUGAUGCAGCAACGCCGCGUGAGCGAUGAAGGCCUUCGGGUCGUAAAGCUCUGUCCUCAAGGAAGAUAAUGACGGUACUUGAGGAGGAAGCCACGGCUAACUACGUGCCAGCAGCCGCCGUAAGAC